rnacentral:lncRNA from 10 species
UCUUGCUUCAUUUACUGGGAGGGUCAACUGAGAUAAUAAGUCAGAAUGUGUUUUUAAAAUUCUGGAGCCCAACUGUAGAAAAAAUCUAUAGAAAAGUAAUUUUUUUCUUGAAACAACUGUCUUGUUGUGAUCAUGACCUAAUGGUGAUCACAAUUUCUAGAUAGAAGACUACCUCCAAAAGAUGCCCAUGGCUCUCCCAGGCUUAAACCCUCUUAUGGCAACCAUUGCCUCCUAUUGGGAAGCAGGGAGCAUAGCUUUUACACUGCACUGAAGAUAUCCUCUCCACUUCCUCCUGUCUCCAAUGACUGGUUGCCGUAUUCUUGUGGCUGACUCCUCUGAUGAAGACAGCGCUAAUUCCAGCAGAGGCACAACACAGAGCUGUCCCAGUAGCCAAGUGUAAACCAGCAGAGUUCUUUGAUCUUCAGCCUGCUGCAUUCUUUGGGUGGCCAAAACUUUGGAAGGACAAGCUGAAAGAGUAUGUCUGGUGUUUGGAAGCCAGGUCAGAGGGUCUCACAAAAGACUUUCUUCAAUAAACUGCAGCAAAGAAAAAUUGAUGGAGCAUGAAAAUCUCGGGCUAAUAAUAGUAUAUGAAAGAAGAACAGAAAGUGUGUGCCAAGGUGUGACCCACUGAGAGAACCCUGGAGACAAGAGUGUACAGAUAAUGUAUCACGUAAUUCUAGAUUUUGUCAUGAAUUCCAUGAUGUAUUAAAAUAAUUAUUUCAGGAUAUUAUUGUCCCAUUGGCUUCAAAGGAUAAUGCAGAAAAACUAAGAGCCUCAGAAUUUUUUUAAAGAAAAUCAAAUUAGCUACCACAUUAAAAGUCUAUUUUUAUUUCAUUGUUGAUAUUUUCCAAGAAAAAAUAUAUUUCUAAAAUCUUCGGAAUCCAUUUGUGUGUUACCUUUUAAAACAUAGGAAAAAGGUAAAAUAGGCCAUCAGCUGAAAACACUUGUCUCUCCUGCAGUGCGAUAAUCUACUCACAUGAAAAUAUAAUGAGUCACUUUAAGAAUCAUCACACACAUCUCUUGCAGUUUGCCCAAGUGUUGGGAAUUUGUCAGGAAGAAAGCUACCUAUCAUCUGGUCUUUGGGACCACCAUGUGAUACUAUUCCAAGAUUCUGAAAAUCCAAGCAAUCUCAUUCACUGAGAGAAUAGUCAAAUGAUGUGUACUUUGUGAAAGUCAUACAAUAAAAAGAAAAACAUAACAGUAAAUCAGUUUUAUACUUUAAAUGUGAAAUUUUAGAUCCCAGUGUGUAUCACAGAACACAGUGCAAUCAUUGUUAGUUUCAUUUUUUUCCCUUAAAAAACUGCAAGGCUAAGGAACAAUGACCUUUAAUACAUGUUGACUAAGAAGCUAACUAUAAACUGUUAUGUUGGGUUUAUAAGUCAUUACCA